rnacentral:ncRNA from 1 species
UUUCUGGCCACGAUUUACUAAACUAUGAAUGGCAAGAUUGAAAUUGUUUGUUAUCUGUUUGGUUGAACAAAAACGCAGCAAUGGCGUAAGACGUAAUGUUUAAGCAAACAAUUUAUGGGCUGCGGGUUGUAGCUUACUGGAUUGGGGCAUAACUGUACCGAUUUAUUACAGUGUCCCAAAUAAAGAGUGCUGUAUUUAAAUGAAAUUCAGACUUGCCCCGACAAAUAGGCGCCUCUAUACAAACGAUAGCCGUGAGGCUGGCGGUUUUGUAAAAGACACGAGGCCAUCGGUAACCAGUAGCUCAUCUCUUUUUUGCUCGCAGCUCUAUACUAA